rnacentral:rRNA from 1 species
CACGUAGGGCGCAAGCGUUGUCCGGAAUUAUUGGGCGUAAAGAGCUCGUAGGCGGUCUGUUGCGUCCGCUGUGAAAACUCGGGGCUUAACCCCGAGCCUGCAGUGGAUACGGGCAGACUAGAGGUAGGUAGGGGAGAAUGGAAUUCCCGGUGUAGCGGUGAAAUGCGCAGAUAUCGGGAGGAACACCGGUGGCGAAGGCGGUCUGCUGGGGUCGAACUGACGCUGAGGCGCGACAGCGUGGGGAGCAAACAGG